AUAAGUGCAAGGCUGUGCGCGUGGAUUAAGAAAAACAAUGAAUAACGAAAACCAUUGGCGCGCGCAACCAUUGUUUUGUGUCAUUUCCUCUAGAAAAGUCAAUACUUCCUUCCUUUCUCCUUCUCAAUUUUCAUCCUCCAUCUCCCACAGUUUCCCCAAACAACAAUAAUAAAUAAAAAUGGCUAACACAUUUCACACCACUCAUACAAUCUCUAACCAAUGGCCAGGUUUCACCCAAAACACACAUUCUCCACCAAAAUCAUCACCAUCAUCUUCCUCUCUCUAUCGACAUUCAUUGCCAUUGCUUUCAUAGGUAACCACAUCUUCCACUCUUCCGCUCACCUAUCUGUCACUUCCAAUUGGCUCGAUAUCCCUUACAACACCACCAUAACACCGCCACCUCAUAAACAACACGUUGUCAAGAACAAAACUCCCCAGAGAUUUCUUUCUGCUACAUUUGCGGAUUUACCCGCUCCUCAAUGGAAUUGGGAGCAAAUGGAUUCGGCUCCUGUCCCUCGUUUAGAUGGUUACGCUAUUCAGAUCCAAAAUCUAUUUUAUGUCUUUUCAGGAUACGCCAAUCUUGAUCAUGUGCACUCUCAUGUUGAUGUGUUUGAUUUCAGGAGCAAUGAGUGGGUAGAUAAGUUUGAUACACCAAAAGAAAUGGCUCAUUCACACUUGGGAGUUGCAACUGAUAGGAGGUACAUAUAUAUAGUCUCUGGACAGUAUGGUCCACAGUGUAGAGGACCUAUUUCCACUGUCUUUGUCUUAGAUACCAAAACAAAGAAAUGGGAUCAUUUGCCUCCAUUGCCUUUCCCCAGGUAUGCUCCUGCAACUCAAUUGUGGAGGGGAAGACUCCAUGUCAUGGGUGGUGGCAAGGAGAAUCGUCAUACACCUGCCUUAGAUCAUUGGAGUCUGGCUGUAAAGGAUGGGAAGGCUUUGGAGAAACAAUGGCGGACUGAAAUUCCUAUUCCGCGUGGUGGACCACAUAGGGCUUGCAUUGUGGUUAAUGAUCACCUUUAUGUUAUCGGUGGACAAGAGGGUGAUUUCAUGCCUAAACCAGGCUCACCAAUAUUCAAGUGUUCACGCAGACAUGAGGUGGUCUAUGGAGAUGUUUAUAUGCUGGAUGAUGAAAUGAAAUGGAAAGUUUUGCCACCUAUGCCAAAGCCAAACUCCCAUAUAGAGUGUGCAUGGGUAAUUGUCAACAAUUCAAUUAUUAUUACUGGAGGUACAACAGAAAAGCACCCAGUUACAAAAAGAAUGAUGCUGGUUGGAGAGGUCUUCCAAUUUAACUUAGACUCUAUGAAAUGGUCAGUGAUCGGAAAACUUCCAUACCGAGUUAAAACAACAUUAGCUGGAUUUUGGGAUGGAUGGCUAUACUUUACAUCAGGACAGAGGGACAGAGGACCGGAUAAUCCACAACCCAGAAAGGUUGUUGGAGAAACGUGGAGAACGAAAUUAUGUUUGUCAUAGUUUGUAAUCAUCAAGCUGCUUACUCUUCUCAUGAUCCUGGAUUGCAGUUUUGAACAGCACCGACCAAAAAUAUUGGUUGUCCAUCUCCAUAUUCUCCAUACUUGUGUUAAUGUUAAAACUGUGUGGCUUGUCAAAGUUUCUACAUUCUUCACUAACCAACAAAUCAUGUAACAUGACAACCCAAGAAUAGCAAUAGUAGAACAGAUCGAAAACAGACCAAGGUAAGGCAGAAGGCCUAUCGAUGUAUUAUUUUUUCCCUUGCUCUUUAAAUCAGAACAGUUAGCUUUGCGUCCAUUUUCUAUCCCAUCCAACAUUUCUUUUUCUAGCUGUUCCGUUUCUCCACUCUCUAUCAUACUAAGCAAUGCCUCUGAUAUGUCGGAAGCUAGACUUGAACCUUUUGGAAAUACCUAUGGUUUGAAACCAUGCAAUGUAGCACAAAAGUUGGAUCAGUUUUUGAAAAAUUAAGAAAAGCAUGCGUAGCUAAGGUUUUAAAUUGCAGGUAAAGUACCAGUUCUUUAUAUUGUAGAAAAAUGUGGUCAGCGAAUGUGAUCGCAGUUAUGGUCAUCAACCAUUUUUUAAAAGUGUAAUGUCAUGUAACUUAGUGAGUGUUUAAAUGUUAGAUUUAGUUUACGGAAACAUCUGUUGGGUCUAAAAUUUUAAUCUAAUUACCCCAAUUUCACUUCUACCAAACAUGUCAAAAAUUCAGUGACAGUGAGAGGAGAGAAACCCACAAAACCAAAGCCACCAAGCCUGUAAGUGUUCCCUGCUUUGAUAAAGCCCUUACACGAGUACUUUGCUAGGAAGACUUUAGCAUGAGGCGCGACGAAGAAGGCAGCUUCUAUUUCCUUGUUAUCAAAGGCAGCAGGGUAGUCACUCAUGGAAUUUAUUUUCCUUAUGUUCUCAGGCUUGAAUUUUAGUACUACAGUCAAAUACUUGACAAUAAAGGAAUUUCCAUCACAACCAAUUGGGGAAUUUCUUUCUUUAAGGGUCUGUAUAUCUAACACAGAUGGCUUUACUUGUGAAAUAGUUAUAGAUGUCAAACUUGCUGUGAAACUAUUUGUCACAAUGAAAAUAGCAAAUAACCAGGGUGUCAGUACAACUUGAGCUAAGGGUCUUCUUAUUGGUUCUCCUGCAUAUUGAAAAUGUACAAUGAAUUAGGAUUAUGCUUUUCAAAGCUAUGAGUUAAGCCUAACUCAACCAUACAAGAUUGUCUUGUUACAGGACUUACUGUGUGCAUAAAAUAGUACAGUGACUAAAAACCAUAGCAUGGACCCAAAUCCCCUUAGAUCUUCAUUUACUUCCCUUUCAAUCAACCAAAUAACAAAUCCAACAAAAACAUGCAUAGCUGUCAUCAUCAACCACAUCUCUUUUGUAAAGGCAGCCAAAAACAUCCAUGUUUCUUUUGAUUUUGCUGGUUGUUCAGUAACCACCAUGUGUAGGCCAGAUUCAAUAUAAGGUUGUGAGAAUUCCACUAAAUGAUAUCUAUAUGCCACUAUUGAUGUAUCACCAACCGCAGCAUCCAAUGUCUGCAUCAGAAACAAAAUGUUAGAUUUGUGUUAAGCAGAAGCAACGAUAAACUAGUUAGCAGUUACCAUACCUUAUUGUAGACAUGAUCAACCAUUUCAUCAUAUGACCCAUUGAAGGGAAAAAACGUGUAAUUUAAAAUAUAAGGUAAACGUUUGACAGCUGCUUCAAAGAUACUGAUUGAGAAACCAGUGACUGUAGGUUCGUUGUUUCCCUGAUCAUAUUCAACAUUCACAAACUGAGUAAAAGCACCGUUUGAAGGUAUUGCUAUUUUCAAUGUCCUUUCCUCAUUAUUGUGACCCUUGGGAACUGAUUGCGAUUCUCCCGGCCAAUAAACUGUUUUGAAAACUCCAUUUGAAUCAUCAUUAUUUGUGCUUAUCUCCAUUACCUUAUUAUGGCUAACAAUGUUCUUGGAAAACCCAAGUGCUGGAGACCAAAAUGCCAUUUCUCUAUAACUUUUCCCAAUCACAUUAAUUAUGUUGAAAGUUGGUGAUUGCAACAAUUGUCCAUUCUUUGAGAAAGUCUUUCCACUCAGUCUUUCAAAUUUUCCCUGUGAUGAUUUAUUUGCAGCCUUAGCAAUAGCCUUAGUUGCAUCAUAUGUUUGGAGUGCAAAGAUACUUGGGUUUAUGUUAUCUUCUUCAGGGUAUUCCAAAGCAAACUUUCUUUGGAAUUUGAACUUAAACUGUCUAAAAGCCCCACUCUUUUCAAUGAAGUGUGUUUUAAAUCCAACAACACCUUGCAUGUUGAAGAUAACAGAAGAAUUAACUGAAUCAAGAAGGCCAGCAACUUCAUUUGGGAUAAUCCACACAGAACCUUUUUCCAUCAAACCUAUUUGUUUUGCUUUCUCACAAAGCAUGCUAGCUAGCUCUAAAGAAGAAUGAACAAUCAGUUUGCAGGAAUAUAAUCAUUAAGAACAAAUGAAGAGAUGUUUGAGGAAUAUGCAUCUGAAGAUCAGACUCUGGCUCUGAAGUCCACUUCUGAAGACCCUGCCUUUGAUGAAGAUCCAGACCAUGAAGAAGUCAACUCUAAAGAAAGUCAGCCUUUGGUGACCCAGACUUUGAAGUUUCAGAAGCUAAGAAGUGGAUUAUGAUGUGCACUAAUGGAAUCAAGAGACAUAUGCAUGCUUAGUCUUCAGACUCCCUUUCCAAGGAUUGACUAUUAUGUCUCAUUGGCCAAGAAGAAGGUUGGAAUAUCUCGUGAGUUGCAAGCUUCUUCCAACCACUCAAGUCAUUUAUUGUCAUCACAUUUUCUCUUAUUUGCAUGAUUUUUUAAAUUGAUGGCAAGGGGAAAGCAAAAGCCUGACUAUUGAUUAUUCUUACUUAGAUCUGAUUGUUUUUCAUAUAUUAUUUUUCUCCAAUAUCUUAUCUUUUCUUAUUUUUUUGUUAAUGACAAAAGAGGGAGAGAAGAGUAUUUAAGCAUAUGAAUUUGACGAUUAUUUUUACUA